UACGGAGGGUGCAAGCGUUAUCCGGAUUCACUGGGCGUAAAGGGUGCGUAGGCGGGUUUCUAAGUCAGAGGUGAAAGCCUGGAGCUCAACUCCAGAACUGCCUUUGAUACUGGAAGUCUUGAGUUCGGGAGAGGUGAGUGGAACUGCGAGUGUAGAGGUGAAAUUCGUAGAUAUUCGCAAGAACACCAGUGGCGAAGGCGGCUCACUGGCCCGAUACUGACGCUGAGGCACGAAAGCGUGGGGAGCAAACAGG
rnacentral:rRNA from 1 species